rfam:Triticum aestivum genome assembly, contig: Triticum_aestivum_CS42_TGACv1_scaffold_146472_2BS
UAACUACUCCCUCUGUCCGGAAAUACUUGUUGAAGAAAUGCAUAAAAAUGGAUGUAUCUAGAAUUAAAAUACAUUUAGAUACAUCCAUUCCUUCGACAAGUAUUUCCGGACGGCAUUUCUUCGACAAGUAUUUCUGGACGGAGGGAGUACUAU